rnacentral:rRNA from 1 species
GUGAGGAAUAUUGGUCAAUGGGCGCGAGCCUGAACCAGCCAAGUAGCGUGAGGGAUGACUGCCCUAUGGGUUGUAAACCUCUUUUGCAGGGGGGUAAAGUGGUUCACGUGUGGACCAUUGCAAGUACCCUGCGAAUAAGGAUCGGCUAACUCCGUGCCAGCAGCCGCGGUAAUACGGAGGAUCCGAGCGUUAUCCGGAUUUAUUGGGUUUAAAGGGAGCGUAGGCGGGGGUUUAAGUCAGCUGUGAAAUGCCGUGGCCCAACCAUGGAACUGCAGUUGAAACUGGACCUCUUGAGAGUACAUAAGGAAGGCGGAAUUCGUGGUGUAGCGGUGAAAUGCAUAGAUAUCACGAAGAACUCCGAUUGCGAAGGCAGCUUUCCGGGGUACAUCUGACGCUGAAGCUCGAAAGUGCGGGAAUCAAACAGGAUUAGAUACCCUUGUAGUCC